GUGUCAUUUUAAUACAAGGAAAUUCUAUACUGCCUUCAAAAAUAUUUUCUGACAGCAGUGCAAACAACAAGCGAAUCUUGUCGCCUUUGCGGUGCUCUGCGGUGCUCCAUAGAGUGCAUGUGGAGGUUUGGGGGGC
rnacentral:snoRNA from 1 species